rnacentral:tRNA from 1 species
CAGAAGAUAGUUUAUUUAAAAAUAUUAAUUUUGGGGAUUAGAGAUAAGAAGUUUCUUUCUUCUGA